GUUGAAACUUCUGCUGUGGGAUUUAAGCGGUUUUCAGAGCUCUACAAAGAAAGUGAAAUACAGUUUCAUUGUCUAUAAAUAGAGGUUGAGCUCAUCUUCCCCUGUUGUCAGGUCAGCUUUAACCAUAACGGUUUAAAAAAGACAAGGGUGUACUGUAACCCUCACAUGGGCCUCUGAGGCAACCUGGUCUGAUCAUUACAGCCUCUCGCAGCAAGAAAAGGUACAAACAUUUCGGCCUGGACAUGGACCAGUCUACGAGGGUGGUGGGUCUGGAUGCCCAGGGGAACAUGCUUUUCACCGUGGUGAAGCCGGUCAUGGGCAUCUUCCAGGUUUCCUCGGAUCAAGCUGGCAGCGUGGUGCACGGCGGCAUGGAGCUACAGGGUUUAUCCGAAAACACGUUGGUCCUCCCUCAAGUGCAGCAGGGCCAGGCGCCGCUCGAUCACAACCAGAUGGACAUGCACGCUAUGCAGCCGCACGUUCUGCCCCAGAUGCAGCUGUCCGCCCCGGUCCAGACGGAGGAAGUGCCCCAGAAUCCGGGGCUGCCGCCGUCGAACUCCAGCGCAAAUUCCGUGUCCGGUACCCAGAUGCCCUUUGCAGAGGUGUCGUCCCUCCUGGAUCCGAACAUGAAGGGAUCCAAGGCUCGGAAGUAUCUCAUCUCGUACGAUGAGAUCAAGCGGCGCCUGCAGGCCCCGGAGAAGAUGUCCCUGCGCUCCUUGGCGGCGUACACUCGAGUCAGCCGAGGCCCGGCCAGCAAGAAGACUCUUCUGGAGUCUCUGAACGUCCUCGGCCUCACGCCGAGCACGACUACCUCCGUGUCGUCCUCGUUCUCCAAACUCACCGAAGGUGACACCAGCGCUCUAUGUGAAGAUAUGAAAGAUUUCGCCCAGGACUACAUUGACUACGGCAACAUGGCUAAACAGCUCAUUCCAGAGAUGAAUACAGUUCAACAUUGGUCCAAAAUGAUUGAAACUAAGAAUCACCUCGAGGAUAUGAGGAAGUGUUUCAAGGACCCGGUCAACAGCGGCGCGUUCGACAACGUCACCCACGGCCUCGGUCUGGGAAUGUUGGACGUGGCGCUGGACAUGGUCGUCAUGGUGAUCGAGCAGCAGAUUCGCAUCUUGUCCGGCGUGGCGGCGUCAGACCCGGCCGACUCUGGUCCGCCGAUGCGGCGGAUCCGCAGGCGCCACCGCAAGGCCCACGCGAACGACACGGAGAAGCCCCACAAGGCGUCCGGGGGCGUCAAAGACCAAGGGAAGGGCAUUUCCAAAGGCAAGGGGCGGGGCAAAGCCAGGAAGAAAAUAAGACAGGAGACCGGAGCCGUCGUCCCCGCGGAGAGCCAGGCGGAGCAGUGCAACCCCGACGAUGCGGAGGGCGACAUGCUCACCCUGGUCUCUGUGGGAUACGAGGCCGUUUCCGGCGUUCACGACGCAGCCGGGGCAGUUUGACGACUGGUCUCACAGCAUGGUCUCAAGUUCCAAGUCGUCAUCGUCCCGUUGGAAGGGACACUGAGCGUCUGGGGCGGUCGGCAACAUGUUGAGCUGGGUCGAGCUACCGUGAAGGCGAGCGCGGUAAAAUGUCACAUCUCGGUGUCCCAACUUAUGUAGUAAGAGGUUAGCUUAGCUUAGCAUAAAGACUGGAAACGGGGGGGGGGGGGAGGUAGCCUAGCUCUGUCCAAGUGGAACGAAAUUCGGGGGCCUUACAGCAUUUUUUUCAUCUGUUCACAGAAACCAAGGCUCAACAAAGACCAGUAGUGUUUGUUUCCUUUUGCACAGGACGAGGCUACUUGCUUCCUGUCUUUAUGCUAAGCUAAGCUAACCAGCUGUCGUGACGUGCUCACUCUACAGAUAUGAGACGGUUUUUCCAUCUUCUCAUCUAGCAGUUGGUAAGAAAGCAACUAAGCACAUUGAUGCAAGAUGCUAAACUGUUUGUGGUUCUUCCCAGUAAUGUUUUUAGUGGCAGGUUUUAAAUUAUGUAUGAACUCAAUCAGAUCAUUUCAUAUUUUUAUCAUCCAAGGUUUCUUAGCGAACAGACACAAAUCAAUGAAUGUAACAUGUAAACACACUGUCCAUGCACCAGUACAUCCCACAUUUUAGAACAAACAAUAUGUUUUUUUUUAUUUUGUUUGUCUCCUGUUUUAUUUAUUGUCUAGACUUCCAGUGCUGUUGUUCUGUACGAGAGUGAUGUGAUGAAUAACUUGUCUGUUUUUACUGGAAUGUUAAGAGCUGAGGAAAAGAUAAAGAUAUAGUUUUCAUAACUCCUUGGAGCCGAUGUCUUGAAUGGAGCGAGCUCGGUUUGAAUUUGUCGAUCCCUGAGUAAAAAAAGUCAUAUUUUCAUUCUAAACAGGAACAUGCGAUUUGAAGUCAAUAGGGAAAUUAGAUAGAUUUUUGGGGACACAAUGUAAAAUACGCCACCGUUUUGUUAAAAAGCCCAAUUUGCUGCAUUUCAAAUGUCAUCAUCAUCAAAAAGGACAUAAAAAGAUUAUAUGGAGUUCAACAGAUUGCCGAACACCAAGCUUUCCUUUUUCUAACUCAAAUUCAACAGCUUGCUAUUGGUGUGCCAAUACCGCCAUCUAGUGGGCUACUAGGGGAACAAUAAAUACACAUGUCAAGUAUGAUACUAUAUGUGAGCUACAUUGCUUUUAUAGAAGUUGCCAUAAGCCUACAAAUGCAGAUGUUAGAUUCAGAUUCCCUCUAGGGAACCUGGAUGUAAGGCAGGACUGGAGAUCUUUAUGAAUUUCAUCUUUAAGGAAAAACUGGAAACCUGAGACAUUUAGUUUCCUUCAAGAGCAAUAAUACAUUAUACAAUAGAAUAUGUCUGCGGAUACAAUAUGUCUGCAGAGCCAGACCUCUUGGGGAUUGAGGCCUAGUGCACGCUUGCAAGUUUACACACACACACACACACACACACAGGGAGGGUGAGUGCUUUAAAUCCUCUAGCAGCUUUCGUGAGGAUUUUCUCCGUAUUAACCCUGACAACCAGCUGGAGUAGAAGGAAGGCAGGUGUGACACAAAAAAACCCCUUUAUUCUGCACAAACCUCAGCGGCAGCGUGAGUGAAGUGAAAUGCAGAGAGCGCUGAAGUAGAUUUUUUUUUUUCUUUUUCUCAAGCUGACACGAGAGAAAUCUUUGAGAAGGAGAGAGAGAGAGAGAGAAAGAAAGAAAGAAAAAAAGCAAUGCCAUGUGUUCUGCGUGAGGACGUCAACCUGAGGAGGUGUCCCCGGCGGCGGCUGGCUGACCGAGGACCGCAGAGCGCAGCAGGAUCAUGGGACACGCCAACGUGCCGCUCACGCGCAGCUGCCACGCGGACAAACGCACCGCCGGCCGACUGCAGCCGUACACACCUCCCGGCGACGGUGAGUCCCACACAUCAGAUCGAUCGUACGGGUGAAGACAUUAUGAUUCGUGUUUCAUGUUUACACUCAAGUGCAACUAGACUCUUGAGCAUCCGUUGGUUGUUGAGCAGCAGAAUCUCAGUUGCAGCCUUUGAUGGGGGAGAAUUUUAUUCAUUCGUUCUUCCCUUAUACCAGUGUUAUUGUUAAAUUCUUUGACAAAGACAAUCAUACUGUAUGACUUCAUGUAUAUUAUUGCCGGGAAUUCUUCAUUGCACUCUAUGUUGGAUUCUUUAAUGUAUUUUUCCUAACCGCCCAGGCAGCCAUUUGUCUUUUGUAUUGAUUUCUACGAAUGGAAGAUUCUUGAGAUUUGCACUUUGCCAGUUCACAUUGAGUGAUAGUAAAGUUAAAGCGCAGAUUGACUUGGACUUAUUAAUUUUCAUUAGAUUAGGAAGUGAUGUUCAACCAUAUAGGAAGUCAGGACUGGUAGGAAAAAUACACUGACAGCAGCAGAGUUUGCCAAAAUUAUAAACGUGCAAAAUCACACAGGUAUGACAUGCUAAGCAUCCGACUAUGUCUCC
ensembl:lncRNA